rnacentral:rRNA from 1 species
CCUACGUGAUGCAGCAGUGGGGAAUAUUGCACAAUGGGGGGAACCCUGAUGCAGCGACGCCGCGUGAGUGCAGAAGUACUUCGUUAUGUAAAGCUCUAUCAGCAGGGAAGAAAAUGACGGUACCUGAGUAAGAAGCCCCGGCUAACUACGUGCCAGCAGCCGCGGUAAUACGUAGGGGGCAAGCGUUAUCCGGCUUUACUGGGUGUAAAGGGAGCGUAGACGGCAGUGCAAGUCUGGAGUGAAAGGCGGGGGCUCAACCCCCGGACUGCUCUGGAAACUGUACGGCGGGAGUGCAGGAGAGGUAAGUGGAAGUCCUAGUGUAGCGGUGAAAUGAGGAGAUAUUAGGAGGAACACCAGUGGCGAAGGCGGCCGACUGGACUGUAACUGACGUUGAGGCUCGAAAGCGUGGGGAGCAAACAGGAUUAGAUACCCGGGGAGUC